rnacentral:rRNA from 1 species
UACGAAGGGGGCUAGCGUUGUUCGGAAUUACUGGGCGUAAAGCGCGCGUAGGCGGGCAUCUAAGUCAGGGGUGAAAUGCCAGGGCUCAACCUUGGAAUUGCCUUUGAUACUGGAUGCCUGGAGUUCGGGAGAGGUGAGUGGAAUUCCGAGUGUAGAGGUGAAAUUCGUAGAUAUUCGGAGGAACACCAGAAGCGAAGGCGGCUCACUGGCCCGAUACUGACGCUGAGGCGCGAAAGCGUGGGGAGCAAACAGG